rnacentral:lncRNA from 1 species
ACUGCUCAAGAAAAUUGCAAACGACACUACCAAGUCUUUAAAUUCAAGAUUAGAACACAACAAACAAGCUCAUUUUAAAGUAGGAAGGCUACACUGAAAACGGGUCCAGUUUAAGAGUCUGCGAUUGUAACCUCCACUUCCACACCAGGUUCAAUUGUAAUGGAAGUAAUUUGCUUGACGACAUCAGGAGAACUGAAGAGGUCAAUCACCCUCUUGUGGACACGUAACUCAAAUCUGUCCCAUGUGUUGGUACCUGUAAAUCACAAACACAAUUUUAAAGGUACAUACAUAACCCUUUAAAAUGCAAAUGCAGAGACACUGUACUUCAAUAACUGGUCAUUUAUGAAUAAACCACAGUAAGCAACAAAUUUUACUUAUGUAACUUGGCACAAACAAGGGAGCUCCAAACUCUGAGUAAAUGGCCAUAAAAGCCAUAAGCCUUGCCCACAAAGCAAUAAGUUAACAACAAGAACAUUUCACAGUGAAACAUACCUUCACCACAAGGAGACUUCCUGGUGGUAAUGUGCAGAACCUUGGUUGGCAUUCUCACGGGUCCCUUAACCCGGAGCCUCUUGUCCUUCGCACCACGAACCAGAUCAGUGCAAACUGUCAAUAAAACAGAUGUCAAUCCAGCAGGCUAAAGAAAUAUUCAAACAAGAAAAAUCUUAUUUCUUAAUAAUCUAAACAAACUUAAAAACUUUAUGUAGUGGAUAAAACCCAUUUCAACCACGUCACACAGCAAUUAAGUAAAACUGAAAUUGAACACAAUGAAGCUCAUAAAAACCAGAACAAUCAUGCAGAUUAAGAAGACAAUUCGGGUAUAACAAACCAAAUUUAUUGAAAGUGUCUUGCAGUGGUUUCAUGUUAUAUGCACAAACAUUUCUCCAAAGUUCAAUAUACACUAACAGAUAUCCUCCUCCAGCUAUCAAAUGGGUCUUAGUCUUUAGACAACUGAAAAUUGGAACAUGGUAAAACAACUACACAAACGCGUCCCUAGCUAAGAGAAAGUAAUUUGUUCCAAUUAAAAAUAAAUAAAAAUAAAGAAAUGGGCAAAAAUUAAAUAAGACCGAUGAUAAGCAAAAGGAGAGACCUUUCUCGAGGUUCUUGACGUUCUUGGAGGAGAGAGUGAUCCUGAUCUUGUGGAUCUGCUCCUGCUCCUCCAGACCUGCCUUGCUUGGUUUCAUCGCUGCAUAAGCCAUUUUCUUCAGCCAAGCUACUCGUUCGCUUUCCUAUACAUCAACAUAGCAAUACAACGAUUAAUCACAGAUAUCAUAUAUAAUCUAUCAUAAAUAAGACAAAAGAUUACUCUGUUUCACUCAGUUUUGCUAGAAAUUAUUAAAAUAAGUAUAAUCUAAACUCUGAGAGAGACGAAGAAGAACACAGACCUGGGUGAGGUGAGGGUUUAGGGCAAGGGAUUUAUCCAAAUGAAGCAAAAUAUCUAUUUUAACAACCUGUUGACCCCAAAAAAAGCAAAACAACCUAAGUGACAAUGUGAAAGUUAUGGACGGGUCGGGUCGGGUUGUCACCAUGUGUGCCAGAUGUGUGAUAGUUAUGGACGUGUCGGGUUGAAGAUUUUUUAAGUUGGGUUCAACUUAUGAGUGUAGCCCAAAUAAUAAUCGGGUUAGUUAGGCUUCUUCAGACAAAUUACACCGAUAUUGUCUUUUCUUUUUGCAUAUUUUAUCUUUCGUCAAGCGGCAAGAGGGACAUUGUCGUGACCAAUUGGCUUAAUUCAUAUUUUUGAGUUUACUUUUAAUUAUUAAUAAUGAUAAUAAGGUUCAUUUGGUUGCCAAAUUUACUUUUGGAUUUGGAAAAUUUUCUUACAAAUUUUUGGUCGACAUGCUUUUGAAAUUAGGUUAGUUCCAACUUGUUUAAUCGCCAUUUCAUACAAAAAUUAAAGACACAUAAUUACUUAUUUAUUUUUGGUGAAGUAGGGUUGAAAAGGUUGAACCACAAACAAUGCUUAAGAAGAUACAAUGACCUUGAUAAUUGGUGGUAUUAGAUUCAUUGGAGAUGAUGCUUGGCUAACAAGACCCACAACUACCAAUGGUUUUGUUAAAAGUCAGAAAAUUUAAGGACUUCGAGUGGACAUUUAAAUCAACAGCCCACUACAGAUGAUUGAGAUAUGUUUAUUUCAAUCGAUAUAGGCAUAUGGCAAGCUAAAAUCACUAGUUUUAAUUAGAGAUUAGUUCAUCUUUGCUUCAUGAGUUCAUCAUCAGCAGCAGCAGUAUGCAAUGAGCUGAAUUAUGCCAUUGCCAAGCAUCGUAAACAUUCAUGGUUCACUUCACGUGAUCAAGAGGCAAGAUCAUAAGAAACUAUGAAUACGUCAACUUGUAUGGUUCACUUGUUUGUGACCAUUUUAGCUAUAUAGGUUUAGGUUUUGGGGUGCAGGCACAUCCCUCCUUAGGGAAUGCAAUAAGUUCCACAAGGCAAUCCAUGACAACCAUCAAAAACUCAAUUGCCACAUAAUGAUGUAGAAGAACAAGACCAGGAAGAAAACAUUUGAACGCCCCAGAGGCCAUCAACAACAAAACUCAAUUUAAGAAUUUCAAUUGGUCUUGAUUCUCUCUCACGAUGUACUUGACAUAUAUAGGAUAAAAAUGAAAAGGAAACAAAGGUAAAACAUUUGCAAAACGUACUUCUAUUCAAUAUCAAAAUAUGCACUGACGUACAUAUCCAUAUCAAAACAUCAGGGUCAAGAAAUUGCAAACGACGCUACUAAAUCUUUAAAUUCAAAAUUAGAACAGAAAAAACAAGCUCAUUGUCCAACUAAUUGGGAAGGCUAUGCGGAAAACUGGUUCAGUUUAAGAGUCGGCAAUUGUAACCUCCACUUCCACACCAGGUUCAAUUGUAAUGGAUGUAAUUUGCUUGACCACAUCAGGAGAGCUAAAGAGGUCAAUAACCCUCUUGUGGACGCGCAACUCAAAUCUGUCCCAUGUGUUGGUACCUGUAAAUCACAAACAAAAUUUUAAAGAUACAUACAUAACCAUUUAAAAUGCAAAUGCAGACAAUGUAUUUCUGCAACUGGUCAGGUAUGAACAGGCCACAGUAAGUUACAAAAUUUACUUAUGUAACCUAGCACAAACAAGGGUAAUCCUAAACCAACUCUAAGAAUGACCACAAAAGCCAUAACCCUUGUCCAUAAACUAGCCCAUAAGGCAUUCAUAUAUACACUAAAACAACUAAAACAACGACAGAAAUAUAACAAUGUCAUUUGUCAAGCCGUAAAUUAAGAGCAAGUACAUUUCAC